GGGGCCGGCGUCGGGCCGCGGAAGGCGCGGAAGGCGGGUUCACCUGGCGGUAGUGCAGCGUGAGCGGCAGCAGGGGACACGGGUUUGAGCCCUGGUCCGGGAAGAUCCUACAUGCCGCAGAGCAACUAAGCCCAUGCACCACAACUACUGAGCCUGCGCUCUAGAGCCCGCGAGCCACAACUACGGAAGCCCACAUGCCUAGAGCCUGUGCUCUGCAGCAAGAGAAGCCACUGCAAUGAGAAGCCCGCGCACCGCAACGAAGAGUAGCCCCCGCUCACCUCAACUAGAGAAAAGCCCGCGCGCAGCAACGAAGACCCAACGCAGCCAAAAAAAAAAAGGCAUGAAAUUCUGACACGUGCUACCACAGUGAGGAGCCUUGAAGACGUCAUGCUGAGUGAAAGAAGGCAGACGAAAGGUCCCAUGUUAUAUGAUCCAUUUACAUGAAACGCCCAGAAUAGUGCGUCCCCCUCAGGACCGCCAGCUGAGUCAGGGCUGGGUGUCACUGUCCUUGAGGAGAGGGUGCACCCCGUAGCAUCUGAAGUGCAUUCUGGUUACCCUUCCUGCCACAGGUAUAAUAACCACCAGAAAAAAAAAAUACGCAAAACAAGACAGGCAAAGAGCCUUGUUCCUCUUGACUGAAGAACCACUGAUGAGCGACCACCC